CCCAGUGAGUUACACACUUCCCACAGUAGCAUCUAUGUACAAGACGAGUUUUCUACUUUUUGCGCUCAAGAGAUAGAUGCAGUUAGCUCUGCUUUGAACCUGAACUCGUUUUGAGAAACAGAACAUGCAGCCUCUGAGUCUGAAUCUGCUUCUCUCGUGGACCUUCCUCCUUCACCAGCCUUUGGAAGAGGGUUGCACUCCUUGGGGACAAGAGGUCACCAGGAACCAGUCUCCUUUCUGGACUGUCAGAGGUUUGCGGUAGAGAGACCAGCCCCAGUGGACACUGCAUUUUAGCAUGAGGGGAAGAGUCUCGUGAAGAGGAGCAGCAGCCGAUGGCCACCCGUGCUUCUGACUGAGAACUGCAGGGAAAGAAACAGCUUUUCUUGUAUCCAGACUGUGAACUAAGCUUUUGCCCCACGCCAUCUAACGGAGGAAAUAUCCUUCUUCCUUGGUCUCUCUUCCCUCCGGGAGGACGAGGUGUGGUGUCCGACAUUUUAUGGGACCUUUGAGCAGAGACAUGCCUGGGGAGCACACACUGUGUGAGCGGGGCUGCAGCGCAGGGAACAGCCGUGGCAGAGUCCAGCCAGAGGACACCACCCCAGGCCUCCUGCGCUCCCGGAAGCUUCUCUUUUGGUGGCGUCUCUCCAGCAAUGGAAACCUUAGAGAGAGCCCAAACUCCCUGAAAAGAACUGCUACUAGGAUAAAAGGACUGGAUUAGAUAAUAUCAGAAUAUGCAUACAUAUUCUGGUCAGAGUAAGAUACAAUUAGGCUGAAGUCUCGGUGGAAGUAGCUGUAAGCAGGAGAACAGAGAGACUCUCAUUUUAGCCACUUUCACUUCUUGGUGGACAGAUGAUGACCCUGUACACAACUUGGUUCUGUCCAAACUGGCAUCUCUGGCAGGGAAAGUCCUUUGAUAAGCUGAAAUCACAGCAUUGGUAUCCGAGCCGGAGCCCCCUGGCCCCCAGAGCAGCCUCCAAAGGAAGCAGAAAGAACCUGCCCCCCAGCCCUUCCCAUCUUUCCGUUCCCAAAAGGGAAAACUGUUUCUCUAGAACUCUGUAUUUCGGCAGUGGGGUGAAAUUGCCCGUGAAACCUGCAAGCUAGCCUACCAGAUGUUUACAGCCUGAAUUCUUCCAACCACACUAUAUGAGGACAUUCAACCAAUUUAAUUUAAAUAUUAAUAAGAAUUGGACUUCUAAGAACCUGGCAACAGACACUGGAAAUAAUAAGAUCACCAUUGUUAUCUCAGAUGCCAAAGAUUUUUCUCACAAAUAAAAUGUUCAUAAUGAGCAGUUGAAAAUUGAAAACCAGUGAAAAAUCAAACGUACCAAAGAAAUAUUGUAGGGGUCUAGACACUUGACUUGCAUGCAGCCAGUCUUGGUUUGAUUCCAGGCAUGUAUAUGACGCCCCCCAGCACUGCAAAGCAUGAUCCCUGGGCACAAAGCCAGGAAUAAGGCCUGACCGAUUCUGGGUGUGGCUUUAACCUCACUCCCAAAUAAAUUAAUGGUAAGGUAAAAUAAAUGACAGAGAAACAAGGUAGGAUCGGCAUCAACAGUAGUAGCAAGAAAUAAUGCAGGCAGAUACACAGAGCUGAAUAUGUUGGCAUAAUAUUAAAUAUCUGUCUGUUUUUGCAUUUGAAGAAAUGCAAGCUUAAAAUAAGAGACAGAAAAUAUGUUAGAAAGUUUGAUAAAUAAGACCAUUUUAAAGAACUAAAAAAGACUUAUAGAAAAGAAAAUUUCAGUAAUUAUAAAAUGUUUCGGGGGCCAGAGAUAUUCCUGGAUUUAAAUGUUUACCUGAGGACUGGAGCGAUAGCACAGCGGGGAGGGCAUUUGCCUUGCAUGCGGCUGACCCAGGUUCGAGUUCCAGCAUCCCUUUUGGUCCCCCACACACCGCCAGGGGUAAUUCCUGAGUGCAGAGCCAGGAAUAACCCCUGAGCAUUGCCAGGCAUUACCCAAAAAGAAAAAAUAAAUAAAUUAAUGUUUACCUGGCAUGAGGCUGGUCUGGUUUGAUCCUAGGAGCCACGCGGUGCCCCAAAGACACCAAACAACUUUAAAUAUGGCCCCUGAGCACUGCUGUGGUGGAGACUUUGGGGUCCAACUGACAUCACAUUCUCAGACCCUACAUUGAAUGUCCAUCCAGGUUUGCCGAAUCCCACCUGGCGUCCCCGGGCCUCCUAAGCGUCAUAUAGGAGAUGCUCCUCCCUGUAACAAAACUAAAUACAAAACAAAAAUAAACCUGAGCCUAUUUUAAGAGAGAUAAUUGAAUAGAAAUUAGAUUUAUGUGAGAUUAAAACAAAAAGUAAGAGCUGUAGAAGUCUA